rnacentral:rRNA from 1 species
CCUACGGGAGGCAGCAGUGGGGAAUAUUGGGCAAUGGGCGCAAGCCUGACCCAGCAACGCCGCGUGAAGGAAGAAGGCUUUCGGGUUGUAAACUUCUUUUCUCAGGGACGAAGCAAGUGACGGUACCUGAGGAAUAAGCCACGGCUAACAACGUGCCAGCGGCCGCGGUAAUACGUAGGUGGCAAGCGUUAUCCGGAUUUACGGGGUGUAAAGGGCGUGUAGGCGGGACUGCAAGUCAGAUGUGAAAACCAUGGGCUCAACCUAUGGCCUGCAUUUGAAACUGUAGUUCUUGAGUACUGGAGAGGCAGGCGGAAUGCCUGGUGUAGCGGUGAAAUGCGUAGAUAUUAGGAGGAACACCAGUGGCGAAGGCGGUCGGCUGGACAGCAACUGACGCUGAGGCGCGAAAGCGUGGGGAGCAAACAGGAUUAGAUACCCGUGUAGUC